CCUGGCUCCACCCUUGUGAAGUGAAAUCUGCCAGGUGGGGAUCAUAUGACCAUUGCUAUAUAAGAAGCAUGAGGAGAGUUUGAGGUUCAGGUUAUUUAGGGUGCUUUUUCUCUUGUGGUGAAGCCUGUGUUCCCCAGUAAGCUGCUUUCUCUUCAUGUUUUCUACCAUCUCUGUGAAAUGGGUUUAAAGCCUCUAUGAGCUAGCUACGUUGGCAGUGCCUUCUCAGUACAGUAAAACCCUCAUGGUGCGACUUCACUGUGAAGCAGUUUGGCAGUGACUCAAGUUCAGAAGCUGGCAGGCCUUACCUGGGACCCUCUACCCCACACAACCCUGGACGGCCCCUGAACAAAAGGAAAGCAAGAACAUGUCACAUGAUGCCAUCACACAGCACACUAAUUAUCAUGCAUCCCUAGCAUGUGAAAUAGAAAAGAGAUGGUGAUUUCCUUCAGUGGAAGCAGCAUUCUUUCUCUGGAACCAUGACCUUGUAGCCAUCAGAAACUGUAACUUGAAUAUGUUUUGCAUGUGGCAAACCUAUGUAAAUGGCUCGGAACUAGUUGCUGAAUGCCUCUUAAGAUGUG
rnacentral:lncRNA from 1 species